GACGAACGCUGGCGGCGUGCUUAACACAUGCAAGUCGAACGGUAAGGCCCUUCGGGGUACACGAGUGGCGAACGGGUGAGUAACACGUGGGUGAUCUGCCCUGCACUUUGGGAUAAGCCUGGGAAACUGGGUCUAAUACCGAAUAGGACCAUGGACUUCACGGUUUGUGGUGGAAAGCUUUUGCGGUGUGGGAUGGGCCCGCGGCCUAUCAGCUUGUUGGUGGGGUAAUGGCCUACCAAGGCGACGACGGGUAGCCGGCCUGAGAGGGUGACCGGCCACACUGGGACUGAGAUACGGCCCAGACUCCUACGGGAGGCAGCAGUGGGGAAUAUUGCACAAUGGGCGCAAGCCUGAUGCAGCGACGCCGCGUGAGGGAUGACGGCCUCGGGUUGUAAACCUCUUUCAGCACAGACGAAGCGCAAGUGACGGUAUGUGCAGAAGAAGGACCGGGCCCAACUACGUAGCCAGCAGCCG
rnacentral:rRNA from 1 species